rnacentral:rRNA from 1 species
UACGGAGGGGGCUAGCGUUGUUCGGAAUUACUGGGCGUAAAGCGCGCGUAGGCGGCUUUGUAAGUUAGAGGUGAAAGCCCAGGGCUCAACCCUGGAAUUGCCUUUAAGACUGCAUCGCUUGAACAUCGGAGAGGUAAGUGGAAUUCCGAGUGUAGAGGUGAAAUUCGUAGAUAUUCGGAAGAACACCAGUGGCGAAGGCGGUUAGCUGGGCAGUUGCUGACACUGAUGCGCGACAGCGUGGGGAGCAAACAGG